rnacentral:rRNA from 1 species
AGAGUUUGAUCAUGGCUCAGAUUGAACGCUGGCGGCAGGCCUAACACAUGCAAGUCGAGCGGUAGCACAGAGAGCUUGCUCUCGGGUGACGAGCGGCGGACGGGUGAGUAAUGUCUGGGAAACUGCCUGAUGGAGGGGGAUAACUACUGGAAACGGUAGCUAAUACCGCAUAAUGUCGCAAGACCAAAGUGGGGGACCUUCGGGCCUCAUGCCAUCAGAUGUGCCCAGAUGGGAUUAGCUAGUAGGUGGGGUAACGGCUCACCUAGGCGACGAUCCCUAGCUGGUCUGAGAGGAUGACCAGCCACACUGGAACUGAGACACGGUCCAGACUCCUACGGGAGGCAGCAGUGGGGAAUAUUGCACAAUGGGCGCAAGCCUGAUGCAGCCAUGCCGCGUGUGUGAAGAAGGCCUUCGGGUUGUAAAGCACUUUCAGCGGGGAGGAAGGCGUUAAGGUUAAUAACCUUGGCGAUUGACGUUACCCGCAGAAGAAGCACCGGCUAACUCCGUGCCAGCAGCCGCGGUAAUACGGAGGGUGCAAGCGUUAAUCGGAAUUACUGGGCGUAAAGCGCACGCAGGCGGUCUGUCAAGUCGGAUGUGAAAUCCCCGGGCUCAACCUGGGAACUGCAUUCGAAACUGGCAGGCUAGAGUCUUGUAGAGGGGGGUAGAAUUCCAGGUGUAGCGGUGAAAUGCGUAGAGAUCUGGAGGAAUACCGGUGGCGAAGGCGGCCCCCUGGACAAAGACUGACGCUCAGGUGCGAAAGCGUGGGGAGCAAACAGGAUUAGAUACCCUGGUAGUCCACGCCGUAAACGAUGUCGAUUUGGAGGUUGUGCCCUUGAGGCGUGGCUUCCGGAGCUAACGCGUUAAAUCGACCGCCUGGGGAGUACGGCCGCAAGGUUAAAACUCAAAUGAAUUGACGGGGGCCCGCACAAGCGGUGGAGCAUGUGGUUUAAUUCGAUGCAACGCGAAGAACCUUACCUGGUCUUGACAUCCACAGAACUUUCCAGAGAUGGAUUGGUGCCUUCGGGAACUGUGAGACAGGUGCUGCAUGGCUGUCGUCAGCUCGUGUUGUGAAAUGUUGGGUUAAGUCCCGCAACGAGCGCAACCCUUAUCCUUUGUUGCCAGCGGUUCGGCCGGGAACUCAAAGGAGACUGCCAGUGAUAAACUGGAGGAAGGUGGGGAUGACGUCAAGUCAUCAUGGCCCUUACGACCAGGGCUACACACGUGCUACAAUGGCAUAUACAAAGAGAAGCGACCUCGCGAGAGCAAGCGGACCUCAUAAAGUAUGUCGUAGUCCGGAUUGGAGUCUGCAACUCGACUCCAUGAAGUCGGAAUCGCUAGUAAUCGUAGAUCAGAAUGCUACGGUGAAUACGUUCCCGGGCCUUGUACACACCGCCCGUCACACCAUGGG